CAUGUAGGCGGGCUUUUAAGUCCGACGUGAAAAUGCGGGGCUUAACCCCGUAUGGCGUUGGAUACUGGAAGUCUUGAGUGCAGGAGAGGAAAGGGAAAUUCCCAGUGUAGCGGUGAAAUGCGUAGAUAUUGGGAGGAACACCAGUGGCGAAGGCGCCUUUCUGGACUGUGUCUGACGCUGAGAUGCGAAAGCCAGGGUAGCAAACG
rnacentral:rRNA from 1 species